UACGUAGGGUGCAAGCGUUGUCCGGAAUUAUUGGGCGUAAAGAGCUCGUAGGCGGUCUGUCGCGUCGGAUGUGAAAAUCCAGGGCUCAACCCUGGACCUGCACUCGAUACGGGCAGACUAGAGUCCAGUAGGGGAGCGUGGAAUUCCUGGUGUAGCGGUGAAAUGCGCAGAUAUCAGGAGGAACACCAGCGGCGAAGGCGGCGCUCUGGGCUGGAACUGACGCUGAGGAGCGAAAGCGUGGGGAGCGAACAGG
rnacentral:rRNA from 1 species